UAACAAGGUUUCCGUAGGUGAACCUGCGGAAGGAUCAUUAACAUAAUAUUCUUACACACUGUUUUUUUACAACAAAACAAAUCUAUCUAAUCUAUAAAUCUACGUUUUAAAAUUCUUAAAACUUUCAACAACGGAUCUCUUGGUUCUCGCAUCGAUGAAGAACGCAGCGAAAUGCGAUACGUAAUACGAAUCGCAGCUCUCGGAAUCAUCGAAUCUUUGAACGCACAUUGCACCAUUGGGUAUUCCCAAUGGUAUGCUUGUUUGAGCGAAUACUUCCCUAAUCCUCACGGAUUGUAUUGUGUUUGCACGAAAAUAAUGACGACAGUACUCUACAAAACGGUACCGUCAGUACACUCAUUUUUUUCCUCAAAUCAAGUAGGACUACCCGCUGAACUUAAGCAUAUCAAUAAGCGGAGGA
rnacentral:rRNA from 1 species